GGAAAGGCGACCGGCAGGGAUUAUUCAACAACUAAAAAACCCACCAUCACACGCUACCAUCAUCCCCUGCACUGUGGAAUUAUUGAGGUAUGGAAGUGACCACCAGGAGGUGCUAUUUCACCUAGACCAGCUUUUCCAUUCAGCGCCAUGAUGUAUCCUGGGCAGCCAAAUAAAAGGUCCACUGCAGUGAGGGAUGAUGAUGGAUGAGGUAGCUGUGCAGCAAAAAGAAACGGACCUCUAUGAAUGAGCCCACAGGGCUGUGUCCAUGCAGUAGCCUAGCUAUCACCCAGUCAUCUCAACGGUGAAUUCUAGGUCAAGUGGAAGACGGGUAUGUAUGUGCACUGUGUGUGUGUGUGUGUGUGUGUGUG